CACUAAAAACAAGGUCUGUGUUUUGUGUAGGCUCACCCUCUCUCGGACAAGGAUUCCCUACAUGCUGCACAACUACGGACAAGGAUUCCCUACAUGCUGCACAACUACGGCAGGGGUAGAAGCAAGUCAGCCUUCAGUCAGUUCUUUUCGGGGGGGACAUGAGUGUCAGCCCGAACAACAAAGUCCCUGACAUUCCUGGCCCUGCAGUAUGAAAAGAGGAGAGUCUGAGAAAAUC